GCCACAUAAAAAUGUACUAAUACCUUUAUAUUAACUUCUUGUCCGUCCCAGAGAAAGAAGUGUCCCGAUUCCAUACUCAGACUUAGCACCUCCCCUGUGAUUUUUGUUUCUAUUUCUUACUGCUUUUAAUUGUGACCCUGCUAAAUCUCUUGGAAAGCUUGUGAAAGCAGUGAUUGCUGGACCUUACCCACAGAGUCUCUGAUUUUAGUAGUUUGGGAGUAAGACUAGAGAAUUUGCAUUUCUAACAAGUUGCCUGGUGAUGGUGCUGCUGCUGUCUGGGGAACCACGCUUGGAGAACCACUGUCUUAUAGAUAGUGCUUGAGUUUUUUGUUUUGUUUUGAGACAGAGCGAGACCCUGAUUAAAAAAACAAACAAACAAACAAACAAAAACGCAAGGUGACUUUAAGUUGAAGAGCAAGCACUUGCCAUUUGAGCCCUAGCCAAAACUAUGAACUGUAAUGUGGGUGAGGUUGUUCUUUUCCAUAUUUCCUUCUUCUUCACUUCUUUCACCUUACACACUGAAUCCCUAUUGGCUGUUCAAACAUAACUAACCUCCUCCCUGUGUACCAAACACCUGAACUGUCUCUCACUUUCCCCUCUCUAAUCCAAACUUGUGGCCUCUUAAUAGGGGUUGAUUUUUAGGAAGCUUAGAGAAAAACAACAAAGUGUUGAUUUUAGUAACUUGUAUGGUCAUAACUAGCUAAUAGAAUUAAUCUUCAUUUACAUUUUAAAAGGAGAUUUUUUUUCUUUUUUAAGCAAAAGUGUCCUUUGGAAAAGUAUGUGUGGGAGGGAAGCAUGUUGUAAGCAAAGCAAUAAAGGAAAUGAGUAGGGUUUUCCUGUCUUUGACUGGUGUACAGACCUCCAAAGUCAGAGGGAUUGGUGUUAUUCUAAAGAGUCUUCAGUCCUCUCUGGCUUACUGAGGUGUAGUUAUAGCAUAGUCAACAGCUCAGGGUUUGGAUUUAAGUGCACAGACCUGGGUUCAAAUUCCAGUCUUUAUAAGUGACUGCAACAUUAUUCAAGUUACUUAACAUAUUCAAGCCUCAGCUUCCUCAUUUGUAAAUAUCAUAAGUGUACUACCUGAUAGACUUGUGAAGAUUAUACAAAAUAGCAUUGUAAAAGUACCUAGUGCAUAAUAGACAUUACCUAUAUGUAAGUUUAUACUACCAUUAUUAUUUUGUCAGAUGGAAUAUGUAUUAUGUUUUUAUUGGGUUGAGUGUUCUGUCAAUGUCAGGUAGGUCAAGUUGGUUAAUAACAUCAUUCAAGUUUUCUGUCUUUACUGACUUUUUAAAAAUAUCUCUCUGUCAAUUACUAAGCGAGGAUUAUUGAAAUCUCCAAAUAUCAUUGUGAAUUUGUUUCUCCUUUCAGUUCUAUCAAAUUUUGUUUUAUGUGUUUUGAAACAGUGUUAUUAGUAUAUACAAAUUUAGGAUUGCUGUGUUUUCUUGAAGAAUUAACCCCUUUUUUAUGAUGAGAUACCUCUCUGUGUUCUUGAUAAUAUGGUCCAUGUUCUUAAGUUUACUUUGUCUAACAUUGGUAUAACCACUUAAGCUCUAUUUCAUUGUUUCAGAGUAUC
rnacentral:lncRNA from 10 species